GAUGAACGCUGGCGGCGUGCUUAACACAUGCAAGUCGAACGAAGCACUUUAUUUGAUUUCCUUCGGGACUGAUUAUUUUGUGACUGAGUGGCGGACGGGUGAGUAACGCGUGGGUAACCUGCCUUGUACAGGGGGAUAACAGUUGGAAACGGCUGCUAAUACCGCAUAAGCGCACAGCAUCGCAUGAUGCAGUGUGAAAAACUCCGGUGGUAUAAGAUGGACCCGCGUUGGAUUAGCUAGUUGGUGAGGUAACGGCCCACCAAGGCGACGAUCCAUAGCCGACCUGAGAGGGUGACCGGCCACAUUGGGACUGAGACACGGCCCAAACUCCUACGGGAGGCAGCAGUGGGGAAUAUUGCACAAUGGGCGAAAGCCUGAUGCAGCGACGCCGCGUGAGCGAAGAGGUAUUUCGGUAUGUAAAGCUCUAUCAGCAGGGAAGAUAAUGACGGUACCUGACGAAGAAGCACCGGCUAAAUACGUG
rnacentral:rRNA from 1 species